rnacentral:rRNA from 1 species
GAAAGUAAGCAAGGGCAGACGGUGGAUGCCUUGGCUCUCGGAGGCGACGAAGGACGUGAUAAGCUGCGAAAAGCCCGGGGGAGGCGCAAAUAGCCGUUGAUCCCGGGAUAUCCGAAUGGGGCAACCCGGCAGGCUGAAGGCCUGUCAUCCCGAAAGGGAGGCGAACGUGGGGAACUGAAACAUCUAAGUACCCAUAGGAGGAGAAAAUAAACAAUGAUUCCGUAAGUAGUGGCGAGCGAACACGGAAGAGCCCAAACCCAUGUCGUCUAGGCGACACGGGGGUUGUAGGACCACGACGUGGCAAGAAGGAAGGGAAAUGGAACGCCUUGGAAAAGUCGGCCAUAGACGGUGAAAGCCCGGUACAUGACUCCCUUACGAAGCCUAGUGGUAUCCUGAGUAGCGCGGGGCACGAGAAAUCUUGCGUGAAGCAGCGGGGCCCAUCCCGUAAGGCUAAAUACUCCCGAGAGACCGAUAGCGAACCAGUACCGUGAGGGAAAGGUGAAAAGAACCCCGAGCAGGGGAGUGAAAUAGACCCUGAACCCGUCUGCCUACAAGCGGUCGGAGCGUCGUAAUGACGUGACGGCGUGCCUUUUGCAUAAUGAACCUACGAGUUACCUUCCCCGGCAAGGUUAAGUUCUUGAGGAACGGAGCCGAAGCGAAAGCGAGUCUGAACAGGGCGCCAAGUCGGGGGGGGUAGACGCGAAACCGAGUGAUCUACCCUUGGCCAGGUUGAAGGUUGGGUAACACCAACUGGAGGACCGGAUGGGUAAGCGUUGAAAAGCUUUCCAAUGAGCUGAGGGUAGGGGUGAAAGGCUAAUCAAACUCGGAGAUAGCUCGUACUCCCCGAAAUGCAUUUAGGUGCAGCCUCUUUAUAGUAUAUCGUGAGGUAGAGCGACUGAUUGGAUGCGAGGGCUUCACCGCCUAUCAAGUCCAGAUAAACUCCGAAUGCGCGAUAUAUAUUUACAGGGAGUGAGGGCGCGGGUGCUAAGGUCCGUGUCCGAGAGGAGAAGAAUCCAGACCACCGGCUAAGGCCCCCAAAUGAUCGUUAAGUUGAACUAACGAGGUCGGAUCGCAGAGACAGCUAGGAUGUUGGCUUGGAAGCAGCCAUUCAUUUAAAGAGUGCGUAACAGCUCACUAGUCGAGCGAUCUGGCGUGGAUAAUAAUCGGGCAUAAACGAUCUGCCGAAGCCGUGGAUGUCGCAAGACAUGGUAGGGGAGCAUUCCAUGCCGCGUCGAAGAUGAGGGAUGACCCUUGUUGGAGCGCAUGGAAAAGCAAAUGUAGGUAUGAGUAACGAUAAGGGGGGCGAGAAACCCCCCCGCCGAAAGACCAAGGUUUCCUGAUCAACGCUAAUCGGAUCAGGGUGAGUCGGGACCUAAGGCAAAGCCGAACGGCGCCGCCGAUGGAAGAAUGGGUUAAUAUUCCCAUACUGCCUCAUGGAGUGACGUGGAGACGGAGAAGUGACAGUCCUGCCGGCUGACGGAAUAGCCGGUUGAAGGGUGUAGAUAUUGAUUCCCGUAGGCAAAUCCGCGGGGAGAGUCGAACCUGAGAGUAUACGGAGCGCUUGCGCAACGUAAUAUGGACGUAACCAUGCUCCCGAGAAAAUCCGCUAAACUUAUCCAUGCGGCACCCGUACCGUAAACGGACACACGUGGUCGGGUUGAGAAUACUGAGGCGCUCGAGUGAUUCACGGUUAAGGAACUAGGCAAAUUGACCCUGUAACUUCGGGAUAAAGGGUCCCAACGAGAGUUGGGCGCAGAGAAUAGGUCCAGGCAACUGUUUAACAAAAACACAGGGCUGUGCCAAAUUGAAAGAUUACGUAUACAGCCUGACACCUGCCCGGUGCUGGAAGGUUAAGAGGAGAUGUCAUCGCAAGAGAAGCAUUGAAUUGAAGCCCCAGUAAACGGCGGCCGUAACUAUAACGGUCCUAAGGUAGCGAAAUUCCUUGUCGGGUAAGUUCCGACCUGCACGAAUGGUGUAAUGAUCUGGACACUGUCUCAACCGUGAGCUCAGUGAAAUUGUAGUAUCGGUGAAGAUGCCGAUUACCCGCGAUGGGACGAAAAGACCCCGUGAACCUUUACUAUAGCUUAACAUUGAAUUUGGGUAAUUGAUGUGUAGGAUAGGCCGGAGACUUUGAAUCAGGUACGCCAGUAUUUGUGGAGUCGCUGUUGAAAUACGGCCCUUUGAUUAUUUGAGUUCUAACUCGUAGAUACGAGGACACUGUUUGGUGGGUAGUUUGACUGGGGUGGUCGCCUCCAAAAGUGUAACGGAGGCUUCUAAAGGUGCCCUCAGGACGAUUGGUAACCGUCCGUAGAGUGUAAUGGCAUAAGGGCGCUUGACUGGGAGACAGACAAGUCGAUCAGGUAGGAAACUAGAGCAUAGUGAUCCGGUGUUUCCGUAUGGAA